rnacentral:rRNA from 1 species
AGGGUUUGAUCAUGGCUCAGAUUGAACGCUGGCGGAAUGCUUUACACAUGCAAGUCGAACGGCAGCACGGACUUCGGUCUGGUGGCGAGUGGCGAACGGGUGAGUAAUGUAUCGGAACGUAUCCAGUAAUGGGGGAUAACUAAUCGAAAGGUUGGCUAAUACCGCAUACGCCCUACGGGGGAAAGCAGGGGAUCUUCGGACCUUGCGUUAAUGGAGCGGCCGAUAUCUGAUUAGCUAGUUGGUGAGGUGAGAGCUCACCAAGGCGACGAUCAGUAGCUGGUCUGAGAGGACGACCAGCCACACUGGAACUGAGACACGGUCCAGACUCCUACGGGAGGCAGCAGUGGGGAAUUUUGGACAAUGGGCGCAAGCCUGAUCCAGCCAUUCCGCGUGAGUGAAGAAGGCCUUCGGGUUGUAAAGCUCUUUCGCAAGGGAAGAAACGAUGCAGACGAAUAAUCUGUGUUAAUGACGGUACCUUGAUAAGAAGCACCGGCUAACUACGUGCCAGCAGCCGCGGUAAUACGUAGGGUGCAAGCGUUAAUCAGAAUUACUGGGCGUAAAGCGUGCGCAGGCGGUUUUGUAAGUCAGAUGUGAAAUCCCCGAGCUCAACUUGGGAACUGCGUUUGAAACUAC